CGUACACUCCUACGGGAGGCAGCAGUGGGGAAUAUUGGACAAUGGGCGCAAGCCUGAUCCAGCCAUGCCGCGUGAGUGAUGAAGGCCCUAGGGUUGUAAAGCUCUUUCACCGGUGAAGAUAAUGACGGUAACCGGAGAAGAAGCCCCGGCUAACUUCGUGCCAGCAGCCGCGGUAAUACGAAGGGGGCUAGCGUUGUUCGGAUUUACUGGGCGUAAAGCGCACGUAGGCGGACUAUUAAGUCAGGGGUGAAAUCCCGGGGCUCAACCCCGGAACUGCCUUUGAUACUGGUAGUCUUGAGUUCGAGAGAGGUGGGUGGAAUUCCGAGUGUAGAGGUGAAAUUCGUAGAUAUGCGGAGGAACACCAGUGGCGAAGGCGGCUCACUGGCUCGAUACUGACGCUGAGGUGCGAAAGCGUGGGGAGCAAACAGGAUUAGAAACCCGUGUAGUCCCAU
rnacentral:rRNA from 1 species